UAUUCUGGUAGCUCAGUUGGUAGAGCGUAGGACUGAAAAUCCUCGUGUCGGUGGUUCGAGUCCACUUCAGAACAA
rnacentral:tRNA from 1 species